ensembl:lncRNA
GGAGAACCUUUGUGUCAAACGCAAGCGAGUUGUAUUUCCAUGCCUUGCGUGACGUCACAACGGGUAGGGCGCAAUCGCUUGGAUUUCGGGGCUGGACAGGAAACGGAGACGCCAGGCAGGAACGCGCAUCGGUCCGCAGCUCGGAACGGGAAUGGAAGCGGGAGAGAAACGGGAGGCUCGCUCGUCUCAUCAUCAUCAAAUAUAAGCGAUCGGCACGGGCAGCGAAAACCCGAUCUAGGAGGAAGAGGAGCUGGGAUUCUGUCGCUGGAUUUGCGCAACACAUCACUGGCUUUUUUCCCCAUUGUUACCGUUUCCUCCGGACAAGACAGAAGCCGCAGAACCGUCGGCUGGUUUGCGACAAUUGUCAGAUUGAUUGAGGAACUUUUCCAUUCAGAAAUCAGCUUGGCACUGCCACAGAACCAAAGCUCAGCUGGAAUCUGCCUCGUGCGAGGAGCUUACUGCGGUCGUGUCCCGAGUCACCCAUCCCGAGGAUGACAGCUGUACCUUAGUCGUGGGAAAAUGCUCCUCAAUGCUUCUCUGUGUUUUACUGAAAGUCCUGGGACUUAAGUUGUUGGUGUGGUUGGAGGAAUGUUUCCACUCAUGCUCCUUAAGGAACAUGGAAGCUUCUUUGUGAUUAUACCCAGUCAUCAUUGAGUUACUGUACUUUAGCGCAACAGCAAACCAAACCCCCCUCUCUGUCUUUAUUGCUCCUGAAGUAAAGUUGGGGUAAAUAAACCGGAGAUCUGCAAACUGAAGCA